rnacentral:rRNA from 1 species
CGAGCGGGAAACUUCKGUUUCCAGCGGCGGACGGGUGAGUAACACGUGGGCAACCUGCCUCACAAUGAGGGAUAGCCCUCCGAAAGGAGGAUUAAUACCUCAUAACACAAGAGAAACGCAUGUUUCUUUUGCCAAAGAAUUCGUUGUGAGAUGGGCCCGCGGCGCAUUAGCUUGUUGGUGAGGUAACGGCUCACCAAGGCUUCGAUGCGUAGCCGACCUGAGAGGGUGAUCGGCCACAUUGGAACUGAGACACGGUCCAGACUCCUACGGGAGGCAGCAGUGGGGAAUAUUGCACAAUGGGCGCAAGCCUGAUGCAGCAACGCCGCGUGAGUGAUGAAGGCCUUCGGGUUGUAAAGCUCUGUCUUCUGGGACGAUAAUGACGGUACCAGAGGAGGAAGCCACGGCUAACUACGUGCCAGCAGCCGCGGUAAUACGUAGGUGGCAAGCGUUGUCCGGAUUUACUGGGCGUAAAGGAUGCGUAGGCGGAUACUUAAGUCAGAUGUGAAAAUCCCGGGCUUAACUUGGGAACUGCAUUUGAAACUGGGUAUCUAGAGUGCGGGAGAGGAAAGUGGAAUUCCUAGUGUAGCGGUGAAAUGCGUAGAGAUUAGGAAGAACACCAGUGGCGAAGGCGACUUUCUGGACCGUAACUGACGCU